CUAAGGGACGAAAGCGUGGGGAGCAAACAGGAUUAGAUACCCUGGUAGUCCACGCCGUAAACGAUGAUCAUUAGUUGGUGGCAAAAGUCACUAACACAGCUAACGCGUUAAAUGAUCCGCCUGAGUAGUAUGCUCGCAAGAGUGAAACUUAAAGGAAUUGACGGGAACCCGCACAAGCGGUGGAGCAUGUGGUUUAAUUUGAAGAUACGCGUAGAACCUUACCCACUCUUGACAUUCUCGCAAAACUAUAGAGAUAUAGCCGAGGCUAACGAGAUCACAGAUGGUGCAUGGUUGUCGUCAGCUCGUGUCGUGAGAUGUUAGGUUAAGUCCUGCAACGAGCGCAACCCUUUUCUUUAGUUGCUAACAUUUAGUUGAGAACCCUAAAGAUACUGCCGGCGCAAGCCGGAGGAAGGUGGGGACGACGUCAAAUCAUCAUGCCUCUUACGAGUGGGGCAACACACGUGCUACAAUGGCUACUACAAAGAGCAGCAAAACAGUGAUGUCAAGCUAAUCUCAAAAAAGUAGUCUCAGUUCGGAUUGAAGUCUGCAACUCGACUUCAUGAAGUCGGAAUCGCUAGUAAUCGCAGGUCAGCUAUACUGCGGUGAAUACGUUCUCGGGUUUUGUACACACCGCCCGUCACACCAUGGGAGUUGGUAAUGCCCAAAGUCGGUGAGUUAACUUCGGAGACCAUUGCCUAAGGCAGGACCGAUGACUGGGGUGAAGUCGUAACAAGGUAUCCCUACGAGAACGUG
rnacentral:rRNA from 2 species